GAUCAUGGCUCAGAACGAACGCUGGCGGCAUGCCUAACACAUGCAAGUCGAACGAGACCUUCGGGUCUAGUGGCGCACGGGUGCGUAACGCGUGGGAAUCUGCCCUUUGCUUCGGAAUAACAGUUAGAAAUGACUGCUAAUACCGCAUAAGAUCUACGGAUGAAAGCGGGGGACCUUAGGGCCUCGCGCGAAUGGAGCGGCCGAUGGCAGAUUAGGUAGUUGGUAGGGUAAAAGCCUACCAAGCCGACGAUCUGUAGCUGGUCUGAGAGGACGACCAGCCACACUGGGACUGAGACACGGCCCAGACUCCUACGGGAGGCAGCAGUGGGGAAUUUUGGACAAUGGGCGCAAGCCUGAUCCAGCAAUGCCGCGUGCAGGAUGAAGGCCUUCGGGUUGUAAACUGCUUUUGUACGGAGCGAAAAGGUCUCCUCUAAUACAGGAGGCCCAUGACGGUACCGUAAGAAUAAGCACCGGCUAACUACGUG
rnacentral:rRNA from 1 species